rnacentral:lncRNA from 10 species
AGAUUUAUUCUUUCUUUUUGAAGACUUGUGUUAGUGUGAAAGGAGAAAAAUCUUAAGUUGCUAGAAAGGUCCCUAGUCCAAGAAGGGUUAAGGCAGAGUUUCUCCAGUGGCGUGGCUAUGGAUGUGCCAAGGUUUUUCAUUUGUUGCAAGCCUACUCAGACUCCAAACACGGAACGAAUUCAGACUUCCAGCACGAGCUGACUGACAUCACUGUUUGUACCAAAGCCAAACUCUGGCUGGCCAAGAGGCAAAAUCCAUGUUUGGUGACCAGAGCUGUAUAUAUUGAUAUUCUCUUCCUAUUGACUUGCUGCCUCAACAGAUCUGCAAAGGACAACCAGCCAGUUCUGGAGAGUCUUGGCUUCUGGGAGGAAGUCAGAGGGAUUAUCUCAGGAUCAGAGCUGAUAACGGGAUUCCCUUGGGCCUUCAAGGUGCCAGGCCUGCCCCAGUACCUCCAGAGCCUCACCAGACUAGCCAUUGCUGCAGUGUGGGCCGCGGCAGCCAAGAGUGGAGAGCGGGAGACGAAUGUCCCCAUCUCUUUCUCUCAGCUGUUAGAAUCUGCCUUCC